GUGCACCAGUCGAGAAACUUCACACUGUGCGAAAGCACGAUGAGGGAAUCCCAAGUGCUUGCACGUAAGUGUAAGCUGUUUCUCUGUUUAAAACGCAGAGAGAGUAAGGGCUGGGUAAGACGGGUGCCAGCCGCCGCGGUAAUACCUGCAGCUCAAGUGGGUGACCGUUAUUAUUGGGCCUAAAACGUCCGUAGCCGGUUUAAUAAAUGCCUGGGUAAAUCGUGUAGCUUAACUAUACGAAUUCCGGGUAGACUGUUAAACUCGAGACCGGGAGAAGUUAGAGGUACUCCUGGGGUAGAGGUGAAAUUCUGUAAUCCUAGGGGGACCACCAGUGGCGAAGGCGUCUAACUAGAACGGGUCUGACGGUGAGGGACGAAGCCCUGGGGCGCAAACGGGAUUAGAUACCCCCGGUA
rnacentral:rRNA from 1 species